UUUUUUUUUUUUUUUUUUUUUGGUUUUUCGAGACAGGGUUUCUCUGUGUAGCUUUGCGCCUUUCCUGGAACUCACUUGGUAGCCCAGGCUGGCCUCGAACUCACAGAGAUCCGCCUGGCUCUGCCUCCCGAGUGCUGGGAUUAAAGGCGUGCGCCACCACCGCCCGGCACAUUCUGUAUUAUAACCAAACUGUUACUGUAAUGUCAGAAACAGUGAUGGCCUGAAGAUCACAUGUAAACCACUGCAACACUCAUCUUCAAGAAGCCUUUCAGACCCAUUUCCAGCUUGGAACCCGGCACUGAGAUGCAUGUGAGGCCAGUUCCAGCUCCAUACUGGGUACCAAGAUGCAUGUUGAUUCUGUGACGUACUACACCUCUGCAUACUACAUUCUGCACACUACACCUCUAUGUAUGACAUCUCUGCACACUACACCUCUGCAUUAUAUAUAUAUAUAUAUAUAUAUAUAUAUAUAUAUAUAUAUAUAUAUAUAUAUAUACCUGCACACUACACCUUUCUUGAUUCCAGGGAGUUAAGACAUGUUUCACCAAUUCUUUCUUUCAUCCCAGAACUCUGUUUUUAUUAUUACUUCUUGAGAAUUUCAUACAUGUUUUGAUCAUAUUCACCCCUCUCCUAACACUUGAAGAUCAACCCCCAUUCCCUACCCACCCAACUUGGUGCCCUCCCCAUUAUCCAUCAAGUCCAACUUCUGCUGCUCAUAUAUUCUUCGCUGUAUGGCCUUGCACUGGAGUGUGGUCAAGCUACCAUCUCAACACUACCAGGGCAACACUUUCUUUUUUAAUUUUUAUGCUAUGUGUGUAAGUGUUUUGCCUGCAUAUAUGUCUGUGUACCAUAGGCCUGCCUGGUGUCAUGGAAGCCAGAAGAGGGCAUUAGAUCCCCUAAACUGGAGUUAUAGAUUGUUGUGAGCUGCCACAUGGGUGCUGGGAAUGGAACCUGGAUCCUCUGCUGAGCCAUCUCUCCAUUUACAGGAACAACUCUUAAAGAAAACUGGCUUUUCCUCUCCCUGAAGCUUUCAACAGCCAGUCUCUCCUUGCCUAUAGAUAGGGCUUCGUGCCCCCUCCUGUCUUCAGGGCAGGAUUUGCUCUGGCUUGAGUUUGCAGAGGGCUUGUGCAUGCUGUCUUAAUUGCUGGGAGUUCAUAUGUGUAGACAUGACAUGUGGACAAUAAACAAAAUUACUAAGAAUUUAUUUUCACAGAAAGUGAUGUUUGCUACAGAAAAGUAGAGGUGGACAGUGAAGAGCAGAGGGCCAUGAGGCUGGAGAACAAAGGGGAAGAGUAAGGGACAAGAGGCCUGAAGCUUUCCAAUAUUUAGAAAUCAGAACGUUAAGUAGCCAGUCAGGAAUUCUAACCAGCAGCAGCCAGUGGGAUCGUUUACACUGGCUUCCCUCUGCCCCUUAUUUUUCCCUAAGAAGGAGUAACUUAUUUAUCAAUAACUUUUGAAGAUAACAUGAUAAUAGAUGGUUCCAUUCCCUCCUCUUUGUCUGUAGGGAGCAGGCUGCCAUAAUAAAGUCUGUGCUCUGUUCUGCUGGCCUCUAUGGAAUGUUCCCAGAGAUGAUGUGAGAAGGCCAGCAAUUUUCUGUGCUUCUGAAAACUGAGGGAGGCUGACAGCAUUGCAAAAGACCGAGAUGGGGAUAGCAUUCCAUACAAACAUGAUUGUUUCGGAUGGACAGUGAUACAUUUUCAGCACAUUCAUCAAUAGGAUCAUGAUUGAGGCGUCAGUGACAUGUCAGCUGAGAGCCAGUCCGUUGGUAUUUUACAGAGGCCAUCGUGCCACUGAUGAUGACAGUUUCUUUUUUGUAACAAAGACAGUGGAAACCAAAGGGGAAAUAUUCAAAGUAGGAUGAAAGGAAUUAGCGUCAGAAAAGACCCUGCAGGGUCCGGAAAAGAGUUGUCAGAUUCUCCACUGUAGGACACAUUAGUAACUAGCUUCAUCUCUUGUAGCUUCUUUCCCAUUGUCUUACCCAGGUGCUUCCCCAGCCUCUGCAGAAACCAACAGACGGAGCUACAUGUCCCAAUGCCAAAAGCUGAAUUCAAGCCAGACACAAACUGGAUGAUUAGAACACUUCUUGUCUAGUUCUGGGUGCUUGACGCCUGAACUCAAGGUGUCCUUCUGAAGGCUUUGGAAUUUUUUUUUUUCCUGUGUGCCCAAGUCCCAGGUGUUCCAGAACUGUCCUUACCAUUCUACACUGUGAUGGCUGCUCUUCGAUGCCUACCUGACAACAUCUGGAAUUCACUAAAAAUCCAAGUUGCUGGGCACACCUGUGAGGGAUGUUUAGUUAACUGGAUCAUUGAGGUCGGAAGAACCAUUAUAAAUCUGGGCCACACUGUCUCAUGGCAGCCUUUAUAAAGGGCAUGGGAAAGAAGCUCUUGUUCUCUGUCUCCUUGCCCUUGCUCUUGAUUCACUUGUAUCAGAGCCUACUUGUGGUAUUUUAUUCCCCAAAAUAUUGUGCAUGCUAAUAAACUUAUCUGGGGUCAGAGACAGAACAACCACAAUAUUAAACAUAGAAGUUAGGCAGUGGUAGCACACGCCUUUAAUCUUAGCAUUCCAGAAGCAGAAAUCCAUCUGUUCAAGGAUACAGACAGGCAUUGUGACUCACACCUUUAAUCCCAGAAAGCCAGCCUUUAAUCCCAGGGAGUGAUGGCAAAAACAGAAAGAUAUAUAAGGUGUCGAGACCAGAAACUAGAAGCAUUUGGCUGGUUAAGCAUUUGGCUGGUUAAGCUUUCAGGCUUCUAGCAGCACAGUUCAGCUGAGACCCAUUCUGGAUGAGGACUCAGAGGCUUCCAGUCUGAGGAAACAAGACCAGCUGAGGAUCCGGCGAGGUGAGAUAGCUGUGGCUUGUUCUGUCUCUCUGAUCUUCCAGUGUUUAACCCAAUACCUGGCUCAGGUAUUGAUUUUAUUAAUAAGAACUUUUAAGAUUCAUGCUACACCUACUUCUUCAGGAUUCUGAUGUACACUGAAGACCAGCUGAGACUCCCAGCCUCAUGGACCAAACAAGUAACUACUGGAUGAUUGGAUUUUGCACUAGGAGACAGCCAUUGUUGGACUAGCUGGACCACAGCCACUCUACCCGUUCUGUGUUCCUCUAGAGAACCCUGCCUAAUACACACAUCUCAACUCUGAUCUCUGCCCCCAUCUUCACACGACCUUUGAGUACACCUGUGUUUUCUCUUCUCCUUCUAUGGACAAGUCAUUAGAUGUCAGCCUAAUCAAGUACGGCCUCUUCUGAACUGGUUAUGUUUACCAAGACCUUACAGCCAAAGGAGGUCACAUUCUGGGCUCCAGAUGGAUAUACAAUGUGAGAUGUCACCAUUGACCUACUGUAUAGUAUACUGUAGUACUGUGGAGUCCAAGUAUAUAUAUACUUCCCCAUCCUCCACUAGAUAAUGUGGUCCCUGAGGUAGGACUAGACAACGCUUUAUUGACCUUCUGCUGUCUACUUCAGUAUCUGGCACAGAGAACUAUGAAAUGCGCCUGAAAGACCAAUGAUCUGAACACAUGGUUCUUUCUUUACCAAUUAAAUUCCCUCUAGGUUGAUUCCUUUGAUCUCUUCAAUGUCAUAUAUAUAUAUAUAUUUUUUUCUCUGUUCUUUGGUCUUUAUUCCAUCUUCAAUGCUUCACUUUUAAUUCUGCCCUAAACAGUUCUAUAAAGCAUGGAAACUCUGAAAUGUUAGAGAACAUACAGAGUCAUAUGUCAAUAGAUAAAAUGAUAAAUAGAUGGGUGUUUAUGUUUAUAGUAUAAAUGUUCAGGUAUACAAUAGUUUAUCAUGAAAUAUAUUCUUCAAGGCUUUACCCAGAGUGUCUUUACUCAUGAUUUCCUAAAUCUUAAGUACUGCAUAAAGCCACUGACAUUUAACACAGAUUUUCAAAGUACUAUGAGCUUAAGUCCAAGUGUGAGCAUCAGGAAAGAGCCUGCUAGCUGGCAGAGCCAUCUGGCCACAUGUGAGACUACGGAACUUAGCAGGAUCUUUCAGGGAGAAGAUAAAUUACUCUCAGAGGAUCUUGCUUCAUCCUCUCAGAGACCAGAGAUUAAAAGCCCAUAUGGUGCUGGGUGUGUAGUCAGACUCAGAACUUUGGAGGAGGAGGCAGGAAGAUGGUAAGUUCAAGGCCAGCCUGUGCUUAGUAGCAAGAGCAUACACCAAGACUAAACAAGACAGCCCAGAUGAUUGUGGUUCUCUGAGGGACGAGGUGUCUCAACUCUCUUCAGAUUGCUGCCAUUACAAGAUGUAUUCCUUUUCCAAAGCAGAUCUCUCAGUCCUUGGUUAUGCAAGAGAGCCAUCUCAGAUGGAGCGCAGGUGGGAGGAAGGAUUCUCCUGGGCGGGGUGAGCAACAUUUUUAGUGUCCAUGGCUAAGAAAGAGCUACUCUAGAUAGUCCAGAAGAGUAGAGAACUUCCUUUUUCUGUUUUUGAAAAUAAAAUCACAGUCUGAAGAUCAAAUGGAAGAAGAAAUUUAGUAGAUAAGAAAAACAAAACAAAAUAAAAACAAAAACAAACCAACCAACCAAACAAAAAGAAGCCAUGUGUGGUGGCACACGCCUUUAACCCCAGCACUGGGGAGACAGAGGCAGGAAGAUCUCUGUGAGUUCCAGACCAGUUUGCUUUGCAUAGGGAAAUCUAGGUCAGAGCCUGUAUAAAAAAAAAAGGAAAUCAUGAAGAGCAAAACCAGGAGGUAUGGAGAAAUGAACCCCAAACCAAACUUUCAAGUAAUAGGUUCAAAGGCCAAAACAUACAAAAGUAACUGGAAGGAAUUUUAUUUGAAAGAAAAAGUUUACAUGAACAUAUUAAAAGGACCUACAGAGCCUUGCCAGGAGAGAGAGAGAGAGAGAGAGAGAGAGAGAGAGAGAGAGAGAGAGAGAGAGAGAGAGAGAGAGAGAAUGAGAGAGAAUUAGGAGCUACAUGGGAGGUGCAGGACAGACUUAGGAAAAACAUCUUCAGGAGAAGCUGAACAACAUGUAAUAGACUCCACGGUGUGUGUGUGUGUGUGUGUGUGUGUGUGUGUGUGUGUGUGUGUGUGUGUGUGUGUGUAUGUUUUAUUUGGUUACACUUUGGUGCGUUUUCUUUUCUUUUGGGGUAGUAUUUUAUUUUGUUUUCUUGGUUUUGGGGGAUUUUUUUUUUUGAUUUGGAGUUUUGAUUGUUUUUUGAGAAAGAACUUAAAUUUGGGUGGAUAGGGAGGGGGAGAGGGUCUGGAAGGACUUGGGGGAAGAAUAUGACAAAAAUAUAUUUAAUGUUAAAAUUGUCUUAAAUAAUAAAAAUACAAUAAAAAGGGAAAAAAUCAUGCAGAAAAGGUAGGAUUUAUCUCUUUAAGAAAAUUUCAGAUAAGUAAAUAUACAUAUGCUAAGUUACUCUUUGCGAUAAAAUUACCCCAGCAUGCAAUUAAAUGAAGUGUGAGUAAAAUGAGUAUUUUCCUUCAUUUGAUGCACUUUUUACUUUCCUCGUGGUGUUAAUUUUAGCACAAACAUUUUGCUGGUAUUUAAUUUACCAUUUUCUCCGUCAACUAUAAUGUCUUAUAAAACAAAUCGCAGAGCCACACAGAUUUACUCUUGUUUUCUACUAAGAGUGUUUAGUCUUCAUCCUUUUAUAUUUGGAGUCACAACCACUUUGGAGUAAACUUUUGUAUGUGGUAUAUGAUUCCUGAGUUGUCCUACCAUUAUUUCUUGAAAAGAUUAUCCUUUUCUCAUCAAACUGUCAUGGCAUCCUUGUCAGAAAUCAAUUGGCCAUAAUAUUAAAGCUUAUUUAUGAAUGUUUAACCCUUUCUCACUGAUUUGUGUGCUGACUUUAUGCCUUCUAUGGUGAAAACUGCAGGCCACAAGAUGGCAGUGUUUCACAUAGCGGGCCCUCACAUCCGCAGGGUCACUAGCCAAAGGGGACAGGUGAUUGGAGAACACAAUGUUCUUCAGCAGCAAGGCAGGGGAGAGGGAAUGGAGGUGUAGGGGAGUGAAGGGGUCUCAGCAUUAGGGAGCUCUGGAGUGCAGAAGUUUGGGCUUUUAAUUGCUACAGAGUCUGUCUAUAUGAACGGUAGGCGUUGGGUGCAGACUCUACAUAGUUAAAAAUGUGUUUACCUUGGCCGUGUUUAAUGCAAUGGAUGUGUAAGACCUUGAGGUUUGCCACUAGACAGCUUUGAGCGGAUGGUCCGACAUCUGAACGGAGGAAAUCACGUAGAAAUCUACAGAAGUCAGACUGCCAAACUAGUAAAGCAGUGUGGCACCACCUGGAUUACUAUGGCAACAUGGUAAGCUUUGAGAUAAGGAAGUGAGUCCUCCAACUGCUCUUUUUCAAGGUCGCUUUGUGUCUUCUGGCUUCAUCACACAUGGGUUUUGGGAUCAGUACCAUCGGUUUCCACAGAUAGCUAGCUACAAUUUGUAAGGAAAACUGUGCAAACUCUGUAGAUGGGUGCAGGGUCAUGUGAACGGUCUUAAGUUUUCUGAACCUCAAACAUGGGCAGGCUUUCCAUUUACUUAUGUCUUGUUUAAUUUAUUUCAAAUAUAUUUUUUAGUUGUGUUUCACUUGUUUAGACCUAAAUAUUUUAUUCAUUUUGUUGUCAUUGUAGAUGUGUAUCUUGAUUUCAUGUUGAACAGUUCGGUGACAGUGUAUAAAAGCAGAGUUGAUCUUUGUGACAGUGUAUAAAAGCAGAGUUGAUCUUUGUGACAGUGUAUAAAAGCAGAGUUGAUCUUUUAUCGUGAUCUGAUAUUCUGUAACCUUACCACACUAAUUUCCUAAUUAAAAAAGAUUUAUAGUAGAUUCUCUAUCA